CAAGACACAGCAAUAAUAACAUGCCCGCGUGGUGGGUGGUCUGGCUCAAUUAUCACUAUUAUUAUUUUUCCCCAUAUAUCAAUCAAACUUCCAUCCCAAAACUGGGGGCAAAGAUUGGAUAAGUGAAGGGAGUUAAUAGGGCCCACCCACGUGGAAAACACAGUCAGCUCGCCACAUGAUUGGCUCCAUUAUGGAAUAAGGGUGGG
rnacentral:misc_RNA from 1 species